rnacentral:rRNA from 1 species
CUGCUGCCUCCCGUAGGAGUCUGGUCCGUGUCUCAGUACCAGUGUGGGGGGCCUUCCUCUCAGAACCCCUACGCAUCGUCGGCACGGUGGGCCGUUACCCCGCCGUCUACCUAAUGCGACGCAUGUCCAUCCUAUGCCGGAUCUUCUCCUUUAACCUCCCGGGAAUGCUCCCAAAAAGGUGUUACGCGGUAUUAGGCCGGAUUUCUCCGGGUUAUCCCCCUGCAUAGGGCAGGUUACACUACGUGUUACUCACCCGUGCGCCGGUCGCCGGCAGGCA